AAAACCAUAUAUAACAUCAACUUUAUUUUUACUUUACAUAAAUUUAGUUACUGUUUUACAUCAAAUGAUCAGCUUCACUGCUGGACGGAAUGCUUGAACUUAAAAUAAAAUUUGACAAAAAAUUGUAUAUAUAAUAGACCAAUAAAAUUUUUAAAAUUUGUAUUAUGAUCUUAGUAAUACAUGUAAUAAGAAAAUUACCAAGUACUUUUUUUAUAGACAAAAACAUAUGUCAACAGAUAGCAGCAAGUCCUUUAUCUUAUAAUUUAGACUAGACAUAUCUUUGAUUAACCCAUGGGAAUGUUACAGUAAACUUCAAUUCAUAUUUGCAGAAUACUUGGAACAUUCUCAUACUCCCAGUUUAUACAAUUUCAAAUAUUAAUAUCAACAAACAACAGAUCUGUGAAAUUUUUCUUAAUUCCAGAUUUUGCUUAUUCUUUAUAUGCUCAAAAGAGUUUGAAAAAUGUUAAAAAAUAUCAAUUAAAUACAUUUAUGAAAAUAUGUUUCCUCAAAUUUCAAUAGUUAAAGUAUAAAGCAAAAUCUCCAAAAAUCCAAAAUACAAAGAAUCUAUAAUAUAAUAAAUUAAUUCGAACAAUAACAAACAAUUCAAAAACAUCAUAAAAUGUAAUCAUACAUUUUUUAUUCAUCUAAACAAAAUACAGCACUGUUUUUCAAGUAACAUCUAGGUCAUUUUUACAUACAUUAAUAUUUACUUCCACAUGAAAACAAAACAAACAUAAUAUAUUAAUUUGCAAUUUUGAUGAUCAAAAAUGGUUCUUAUUACACAACCUCCUCUAAAUGCAUAAUCUUGCGUCAAACCCAAAAUAUAUGUAAAGUUAUAUUUUAUUUUAUACUUUAAAAAAUUAUUCUUAUCUAAUUAAAUCAAAGAAAACAUGGUAGGUUUGCACUUCUUGAAAGUAAACUGAAAAUCAGUUCUUUGGAUUAGCAAUUGAUGUCUUUAACUGAUAAAGCAAUGAUAUUUUUCUCCAUAACAAACUAUAUUGACUAUGCUACUGUCUGAAAAUACAACCUAAAGUAUUAAGUUUACAUUUAACACAAAUAUUACGAAAUUGUAAGGCAAAAUUGUCAAUUUAGAAUUUUACAUAAACAAAUUUUACGAUAAACAAGGCAAAAUUGUCAAUUUAGAAUCUUACAUAAACAAAUUUUACGAAAAAACAAGGCAAAACAAAAUUUAAACCGUAAAUGUACAGCAAGAUUGAACAAGUUGAACUGAUUUAUGAUACCCUUGCUGUA
rnacentral:lncRNA from 1 species